GUUCAUGCUGCAGGGGCGAAGGUAGAAAGGACAAUGAUAGUUUACAACCAGGAGCUGCAAUAGCUCUCAUGCCAGUGGCUCAAGGAACACUGCCAUCUCAGAGGCCCUGAACUCCAUAAACACCCAGAUACUACAGGGUACCAGUUUCCGCCAAGCAGUUCCACAACCCAACCCGCCCUGCCCCACGGCUGCCCCAGCAUCCUAACCACCCAAGCAUCCCGGUGGAAGAGCCUGAUCUCGUUAUUGAUCCAAAAGUGAAAUGAAGAACUAAGAUUGCCUCCAUAAUCUUGAGCCAGCAGCACGUUAGCCCACAGAACUUAGCCACACCUCCCGUUGUUAGUACUGUCUCCAUAGUCACUAACACUGACAUCAAGGGCAGGCUGCCCCCAGCAGAAAUGCAAGGGCUGGCUGGGCCACUGAGCCACUGAGGACUACCCAUGGCCUGAGCUGGGAGCAUGUGGGUCGGGGAGACAGAGAGGCAGGGUAGUGGGAUGCUCAUGCUGGGAGCCUUUAGCCCCGCCCAGUUGCUGGAAGCACGUAAGCUGCUGGUGCUAACGGCCUUUGCUCCCACAGGUGAGCACUAGCAAAUGCUACUGUGCAGUGCCCCCCAUGCAUCUGAACAGCCCUCACUCUGUCACCCCUUUCCCUGCGACCUAGCUGCCCAGGAGGAGGGUGAAAAGGGGCUCCCUGGGGAUGCUAUAGCCACCAGUUCCACCUGUACCUGCCUCCUACCUCUAGCCCUGCUAAUGGCCUCACAGCUGCCUACCCUCCUCUCUGUCAUAAACCCUCAAUUCUGACCUUACACACCAUGGCCCUGAACUCUCACAGAGAAGGGCCCAUUGUAGUAGACCAGGAGUCUACAGUGUCUGGCUGAGUAGACGCUGCGACUGUGUUUGGUGUCCUUGUCCCCAAUAAAGGCUCAAGCAGCUCUCAGGAAACCUUGGAGCGGGAAGCGGGAUGAGACCUGCACCACAUGCCUCGAACCCCACCGAAGCAGGACAUCCGCAGCUACUCACAUCAUCCACACCCCAGCUGCGAUGUUCAGAGGGUGGAUCGUGACGCAGUUGAAGAGUCCAGAGAUGGCACAGGCUUCAAAACAAAAGACAAUGGGCAGGAGUUAGCAGAGCACGGCAGAGCUCGCAGAAGGAUGUCGGGGCAGACACUGAGAACACACGGGGCUCCCUUUAGAUGCUCAGCCUUAGGGCUUCCCUCAGCAACCACCAUCACCCAAACAGUGGAGAGUACUAAAUCUACAUCCGAAGCUCAAGUCUAGCUAUUCUCGUACCUGGGGAUAUAAAGGCCACACCCUUCUCAAACCUAAGCUCCAAUGGGCCAGCCCUUAGUUCCAGGUCAUUAUCAAACCCUCUCAAGGAGUCAGGCCUGGGGGCUGGGGGAAGGCCGGAGAGAUGGGUCAGAGGUUAGGAGCACUGACUGUUCUUCCAGAGGCCUGAGUUCAAUUUCCAGGAGCCACUUAUGUGGGUCACAACCACUAUGACGGGUUCCGAUGCCCUCUUCUGGUGUGUCUGAAGACAGUGUGUUCACAUAUAUAAAAUAAAUAAAUCUUAAAAAAAACAAAGUCAGGCCUGUCCCGACUUCACUGAGAGCCUUAGCAAGGCUGCCUACCGGCAUCUACUAGGUAGUGUUCUGACUUGGAAAACGACACUCAGAUUUAUUUGGGGUUAUUCUGUUUUUUAUGCCUUCUUAGUAAGGGUGUUUUGUUUUGUUUUCCUUUGAGACAGAGUCCUCCUGCUCUAUAGCUCAAGCUGACCUCAAACACUGUCUUGCUCCCUCGGCCUCCUGGGGACUGGGAUUGCGAGCAUGUCACACUGUCUGGCCACACCCUGAACUUGGGUCAGGACAGGGAUGCCUCUCACGGUACACCAGGGAGGCUAUGUCCCAAUACCACAAGAACAGCAAGACACCGCGAGGGGACGGGAUGUGUGCUCCUCUCCAGAAUGUGACUGCUCUCCAGGGUGGGACUCCAGUGAGGCUCCUCCCCUCUGACUGUACCUCGGGGUUACAGUCUGCCGCAGCCACCCAGGCUUCACCAGGAAGUCCCUCACCAGGAACUCUGCGAGCCUCUGAGGACACUCCUGGGAGCUGCCCAGCCUGGCAGGAGGCAAGCUAAGGGAGGGCAGAGUGCUGGCCCUCUGAGGCUGCAAUUAGCACCAACUUAUUAAACUUGCAGCAGGCCUAAGUCACCUGAUCCCUCCACUGGGCCUGGAAUUCCACCAUUUUCCAUAUUCCCAUGUUACACUAUGCAAAUGGAAGCUGAUGCAGGAGAAUGGACCCAAGGACCUACUCUUCUGAGUGGCACAACUUCUGUCACAAAGUCUUCUCUAGUAAAGAACUCAAAGCAGCACUCAUCCACGUGUGACAGCGUGACAGCAGCAAAGCUCCCAGGGCCACAGAAGUGAGGGGCUGUCCACCUUCUGCCUGUGUGGAUCUAGGCUGGGUCUCACCCGAGGGGCCUGCAGCCCUGUCAUCAGCAUCCCACCUGCAGCGCUGCUCCACUGUGCUGUUCAGCAGAGCCAGCUUUGGGAAGACCAGGUCACAACCGGGACGAACAGGAGUCCUUUGACAACCAAGGACUCAAUCCAUCUAUCCACUUGGGGAACUAAUGCUCGUGUCUUCCACGAAAGGGAGAUGUCACUAUACAACUCUUUCCUCCUCAGAGCUGCUGUGUACAGAGGCCUUUGUGACCAGAAUAAAUCCCUCCAAUAAGUAAGCAAACCCCUUAGAAUAGCUUUCAUUCCAAGAGAGGAUAGGCCACAGCUCCUGUCAAACCCCUAUUGAGUUUUUAAAGAAAAUACACAUUUUCCUUCCUUCCUGUGAUAUGCCAGUGUUCAAAACCUUGAUGCACGCCCAUCCCCAUCUGCAGGUUCAGGAGAAAACUGAAGUUAUUGCCACAGGUCUCCCCUAAGGUUUCACCAAUGGCUUGUCCCAGUGGGAGGGUUGGGAGGCCUUCUGGAGUAGCACAGACACCCAUGUUAGGAAGCACAGGACUGGGUGGGAUUUCCAAAGUCAAUCUAAUCUAGAAGUCACCAGGGUCAGUGAAUCAUCGAGAUGGAGGGAGGGUAGCCGCCUACAGGUCACGGUCAGGAUCUUCCUUGUUUCUGCACCCCUUAACACCACACUGAAAUAGCUAACUGCACUGGAGAGGGUUUGAUCAACCUUGGCAGACUCCCUCUGGAGCUGCCCUGUCAGGGCAGCCCAUACCUAACCCUACCCUAUCCAUCUGACCAGCAAGAUCAUCUGGACAGAAGGGGCUCCAAGAUACUCCAGGACAAUAGAUGGGUCUGCCCCUACCCACACAGUCCCUGCUCCGGUACCAGAUAGGCAGUGGCGUCCUGGACCUUCCUUUCCUGAGACCAGCACUCACCCGGACUUCUAGGAAUUUACAAUGAAAGGGAUACAUAGGAUUUAGCAAACACAUUAGGUUCAAAGGUUUUGUUUGGAAGGCCAGCAACACAGCUGUACUUAAGAGGCGGACCUGCCUUCCUCGUUUAUUCUUUUGGAGCUUGAGCAGAGAAAGCUUGCUGGUGUGGAGGAUACCGGGCUGGCGAGAAGCAUUAGGAGAGUGUAGACAGUAAGAACCCGAGGAGAAGCUGCCUCUCUGCCCACUGCCCAGCCACCCUGAGGGGCCACCCUCCUCCUGGCACCAUCUGACCCUCAAGCAAACUUCCCAGCCCCCCAUUUAUGAACAAGUUUUGUUCAAAGGCUGGGAAUUUGUCAGUCCCACCGCAGCCCAGGUGAGCAUCACCAGGCCGAGGUGGGACCGGGAAGGGGCAGACGCGCAUUCUCCGUGAGUCACAUCACCUCUGGCCAAGGCCAGAACAGCUUGGCUGUAGCCUUCGAGGCGGCGGACUGCAGGCCUGAGGUCGGGAGCCAUGGCAACCCCGGGGACGCCCGCUCCCCGGACGCGAUACUCACACACUGCCCCUAGCACUCCCGCCAGGCGGCACAGCCACCGGUACCACCAUGUCAUGCCCUCCUCUUGCGCCGGCGGGACUGGGCCGGCGGCCGCUCCGGCGGCGACCGAGCCGCUCAUGCUGAACGCUGCGCGCAGCACCGGGCGCGCACAAAGGGACGUGUCCACCCGCGCGCGGCCUUGUGGGAGAGGCGGUGAUUAGCAUAGGGGCGGACCCGCAGGCCAUAGCCGGGGGCGGGGAGAAAUGGCGGAGAAGGGGCGUGUUUACAGGAACCCGCACAUGGGACACUCUGUUCUACCCAGGAAACUGAAGCUCAGAGAUUUUGGGCUCCUAACCCAGAACACACAGCCAGGUGAAAGAGCGGGGAUUCUGCUCAAGACUAAGUCUGAGGUGGUCUGAUGGAGCAUACAAAAUCUCAACCCUACCUAUGCUCUUCUGAAAACAAAAUGAAACAAACAAUACAAAAACACCAGGCAUGAACAUGAUGCGUCUACUGCCAGACAAGGCCUUCUCUCUUCCUUCUUGCAGUAGUGCCAGGAGCACUUGUUGUGCUCUCAUCACUGGGAACCCCACUGCACCUAAGGCUCUCUUGCGGCAGACUGUCAGCAUGUGAGAACUGAGAAGCAAUGAGGAGGAAGCCAGUGGGCUCCAGUGGGACCUUGCCACCAGCACAGCUUAUGGCUGGCAGUGGCCGAAGAGGAAGGGUGGUAACAUGAAACCUUUGCAGAGGCAACACCCCUGUUCUGUCGCCUUCACGUGAGGUCUGGGCCACGCAAAAGUGUCUGGAAUUGGCAAGGUAAGAUAUCUUCGAUCAUCUUGCACUUUUACAUCAAAACACUGAGGUGAUCAGGGGGGCUCUUAGGGGAUACUGUCUGGGUUCUGGGUAAAGCGGGAAUCCAUGAGACGCCCCCUGGAGGAGUAUAUAUAGUCCAGACAUCUUCCUUAUGGGUGCUAGCAUACACAUACAAGUCACAGGAAGCAGCUGAGGAGAAGGGGCUCACAGGCCUGAGGGAACCUUGGAAGAACUGAGGACCAGGGUCAAGGGAAUGAGGCAGUGAGUGGCCUGAGGGAUGGGGCAAGGACAGGGACCAUAUCUACAUCCUCCCAUCUGGUUCAUGGCCACAGAGGAACUCUAUCCUGACCACGUGGAAGAUGUUGCCCGCUCCCAGUUCCCGUUGUGGCCAGCUCUCUCCUGCCCUGCCCGUGGCCCUGUUGAAAAUGCCCUGUCCACAGCAAUACAGACAUACCCACCCAGUGAGAAGGAAGGAAGGAAGGCCCAGGCGCCUGGCAUACCUUUGUAGAAGGUCCCUGGGGCAGGUUGGCUCCGGUACAGUAGCAGCACUCCACCUCCCGGCAGCACACGAUGCUGCCUCACCACCACCGUGUUGGCUUUUGUGCUGAAAGUCCUGCCAGACAUCUUCCAGCACAUCUUCCGCCAUGUGAACUUACCCCAGAGCAGCAGCAGCUCCCCUAGAAAGGGCGGGGCAUUGAAGAACCAGAGCCCCCACUCCACGCUGGCGGCAGCUGCUCAGGGCUGAGCUCUGAUGACCACUCUCCCCGUCACUGGCUAACGUGACAAAGUACGGGCCAUGUCACCAGAGCUCUCAUGCCCCCCAGUUUUCAAUCUUAUAAAUGGAGAUCCCCCACACUCCAGCCAUUAAACAGCUUUUAAAAAUGGAGAGUAGGAGCAUAGCAGGGGCAUCCUGACAGGAACGGGACACACUGGGGUUGUGCUGCCAGAGCCCAAGCCCGCUCCUCUGGAUGUACCUGCUCUGCACUUGAGGGAGCUCUCGAGGAUUUGGAGGGUCACCACUUCACCUAGAGGUCUCCCGAUGGCUACCACACAGUCUAGCUGUCCUUGACCUCGCAUGUCAAUGGUUCCUGUGGGCUCCAGGUAUUGCCUUCCACAGGCUCCUACCGGAGAGGAAAGGAGUGAGGUGACCAGAACAGAGCAGGGCUGGAACCUGGAGCUGGCAGGGGCUGAGAAGGGGGCUAUGUGUCACAACAGUAGUCACCAUCCAAGCACUAGGCCACUUCUUUGUGCUUCAGGGAAAGGAAGGUGGUGUGGUGUGUGGGCUUCAGACAGCAUGGACCUGAGCUCCUGACCCUACAACCUUCAGGUUAUUUGACGGGGACAGGAGUAAACGUAUGAUUUCUGAGCUGGAGAGAUGGCUCAGUCAGUAAAGUGCUUUGUUGUAAGCAUGGGGGACCUGAGUUCAGUCCCCAGAACCUACAGUUUAAAGGGCAGGUCUGGAUGUUCACAUUUGUCGUCCCAGCACUGAGGAGGCAGAGACAGGUGGAUCCCUGGGCUCAACCAGCCAGCCUAACCUACUUGCUCCAAGCCAGUGAAAGACCCUGUCUAAAACAAGAUAGUCAACGUCUGAGAAAUGACACCCAAGGUUGUCCUCUGGCCUACACACGCACACACAAACAUGAACAUACACACACAUACAUAAAGAGUGUGGCUUCCCUUUGCCACUGGGAAGGAGACCCUGAGGCCAACAGAGCACGGUCUAGUGCCUGAGGGCUUAUGCUGUGAGAUCCCCAACAGGAAACAGGAAGAAACCUAACCAGGCUCUUCCAGGGUUUCCUGGAGCCCCAGAGACUGGGAGUCUGGGAAAAGGCUGUGGGCCUGGGCUUGGGGCUGGGACCAUUGCAGAGAGGCAGCAGUAACCGCAGCCAGGGUCUGGCUGGGAAGAGUAGCUUCCUUGUGAGGCAGCGAGCUGGAGAUCUUCUGCCCUGCACAGGGUCCAGCCCAGCAGCCUCUCACAGUCACUGGCUUGGGCAGGUGCUGGCAGAAGUUGGCUGGCACAGGCACUUGAGCCUGGGGUCCGAGGCAGGUGCCAUGCCGGCGCUGGAUGCCAUCCCCACAGGAGACGGAGCACUGUCAGGAAAGAGUGGAGGAGCAUGGUGAGCUUGGCAAAGAGGAGCAAGACAGGGGGACCACAGGACGCUGCGGUGUGACAGGCGCCGCACACUGGGAAGCAGCAGGUGUCUGCUUUACAGGUGAGGAGACUGGAGCUAAAGAGGCGCCUGUGUCGGGGCUCACGUGUAUAUGAGACCCGGGAUUCUGGACUCGGAGUCCAGCCAUCACUGUCUCAGCCUCUCUGCCCCUCAGAGCCUUAAAGAAGGGACCAGGGUGACCUUCUCUGCCUAUGGCUCACUCGACACUGCAUGGAGUGCCCUGCCCUCCUGCUGUCUCUAUCUCCAUCUUAUGUCCAGAGUCCUUGUGGCCGAGGUGAGGUGAGGUAGGGGAGCAGUGUGUCCUACCUGUCCUGUUUCUGUGCUGCCUACACCUUUGAGUGAGCUCCUCCCAGGGGAACCAAGCCCUACCCACCUUGGCCUCUCUAGUGAUUUCUUGGGUGCUUGUCACAAGAUGACACUGACCUCUUCGGUAUCGGGGUUUCCAGUAUCUGUUGACCCCAUGCCUCUUGAAGCCCAGCUGUCUGAGUCUCCAUGCCUCACUGUGUCCCUGGCUCUAAGGGUACAGGACAGCAGACUCUCCCCUCCUUCCAGGGGCCAUAGUGAAUAAGGACCCUAGAACCCCCAUACACAAAGAUCCCUUGCUGCUGCCUUCCUUAGCCUCAACUAGAAGUCCCAGGGCCAGGUCUAGCCUUACCUCUGUCCAGGUGCUGAUGUGCCACCGGUAUGCACAGUCAGCAAUGAGGCAGGGAACACUGGCGGGGGGCCGCACCAGAGCCUUACAGAAAGUUUCAUCCACCUCAUUGUCAUGGCCUUGGUCAAGCUGCACGCAGGCCACCAUUUGUGUGGCAGUGCCAAGGCCACAGCUGGCUGAGCACGGGCCAAGGGGCAGGACUUUCCAUCUGCAGGAAGAAAAGACCCCAAGGACAGUUAUUUGGGCUUCUGUGUGUAGGACUAUUGAAGGACCCUCAGCUUCUUCAACAAUGGUCUGCCUGGUCUCUGGUCAUGGGUCUCCACUAACAGCAUUGAGCUUCACUAUUGCUCUUCAUGUCUGUGUCGUCGAUUGGCCCACUGCUACUCUGGAACCCUUGGGAACCAAGGCAGCGGGAUGAGCCAGACCAAGACCACUUCAGGUGUGUAUGGCCUGUACCUUAUACCACUGGCAUCUGAUCCUGCAUAGCUGCGUCCUGUGCACUGACAGAUGGGCGUGGUUAACUUCUGCCCACUAGGAGCCAUAUCAAAUAGCCCUAAUUGUGACCAUUAACCUGAAGUUGACUGUGUGCCCUUUGAGGCAGAAUCCUGCCUGGCUGAGGGACUAGUUCCCUGCAAAGAAGAGAGACUGUGGACAGAUCAGUGCAGGUUACAGAGCGACCACACAACACCUCAGUGGUAACCAGAACCCACAUGUGCACGCACUUCCCAUGGAACAAACAAACAAACAACGAUUUAGAUGGGUGUGGGGGCACAUGCCUACUAUCCCACAACUUGAGAGGUGAAGGCCUGAGGUUCAAGAAUUCAAGGCUAUCUUUAGUUACAUAGAGAGUUUGGAGCUAGCCUGGGCUACAAGGCACUGUCUCAAAAAAAAAAAAAAGAAAAAAGAAAAGAAAAAAAGAAAAAGAAAGAAAAAGAAAGAAAAAAGAAAAAACCCUAAACCAUUUAUAAUCAUAACAUGCAAAAAUAAAAAGCACAGAUAGGGAACUUUAGCAAAAACAAAGAAGGCAAGACACACAUGCUGUGGGUCUCAGGUAGAGUCUAAACUACAAAAUUUAAAAUCAUUACAUAUACAGAAGGAAAAGUCAAACAACUUGAUUUAAAACAAACAAACAAAAAAAGACUGACAGGUGGGGCUGGAGAGAUGGCUCAGUGGUUAAGAGCACUGACUGCUUUUCCAGAGGUCCUGAGUUCAAAUCCCAGCAGCCACAUGGUGGCUCACAACCAUCUGUAAUGGGAUCCGAUGCCCUCUUGUGGCAUGCGGGUGUACGUGCAGAGAGAGCACUCAUACAAGAAAUAAAUAAAUAAACCUUUUUAACCGCCUGGCAGACUUGGUACCCACACUAAGUUCACCUAGGCUACAGAGGGAAGCUAGUGAGCAUCUUGUGAGAUCCUGUUUGAAAUAAAAGGUAAAGAGAAGCUGGGAGCCCCAGGGUUAGAUAGGUAGGGAGAGA